rnacentral:rRNA from 1 species
GUAGGUGGCGAGCGUUAUCCGGAAUCAUUGGGCGUAAAGAGGGAGCAGGCGGCAAUAGAGGUCUGCGGUGAAAGCCUGAAGCUAAACUUCAGUAAGCCGUGGAAACCAAAUAGCUAGAGUGCAGUAGAGGAUCGUGGAAUUCCAUGUGUAGCGGUGAAAUGCGUAGAUAUAUGGAGGAACACCAGUGGCGAAGGCGACGAUCUGGGCUGCAACUGACGCUCAGUCCCGAAAGCGUGGGGAGCAAAUAGGAUUAGAUACCCUAGUAGUCCACGCCGUAAGCGAUGGUCACUAAGUGUCGGGGGUCAAACCCCGGUGCUGCAGUCAACGCAGUAAGUGACCCGCCUGAGUAGU